AAACCAGGAUUAGAUACCCUAUUAUUUUAGACUUAAAUGUUUAAUUACCUGAAUAUUAAUAGUUAUUUUCUUGAAACUCUAAGAAUUUGGCGGUAAUAUAUUUUUUUAGAGGAACCUGUUUUUUAAUCGAUGAACCACGAUACUUUCUACCUUUUAUAUUUAUUUGUAUACCUCUAUUUAGAAUGUUUUUUUAGGAUAAUUUUCUUUUUCUUUAUAAGUUUAAUUUUAGGUCAAGGUGCAGUUUUUUUUAGGUAAACAUGGGUUAUUUUUUUAAUAAACAACUAGUUAAGUUGUUUUGAAUUUGGAUUUAACAGUAAAUUUAAUUAAUUAAUUAUUUUGAAUAUUUUUUUAUAUUAUGUACAUAUCGCCCGUCACUC
rnacentral:rRNA from 1 species